ensembl:lncRNA
GAGUCUGUUUCUAAAACGACAACGACAAAAAAACAAACAAGCAAAAAAAAUUUGAUAAUAAUUAAUAAUAAUUAAUAAUAAUAAUUGUAUUUCCAUAAGCGGUGUAAUUUUUUUUUUCCAGUGUAGCUGCAGCUCUGUUGUACAAUAGAGAACUUUUUAUAAUCAAGCCCAAAUGUGAUUCCUCAAAGAUGCUUUUCCCAAAUUUCCCCAUCCCAGCGACUCCAAGGUGCUUCGGAGAAGAGAGGAAAAAAAAAAAGAAACAAACCCCGAAGUUUCUGGAAAAUUCCCCCCGGAUCCGGUGGCAAUUCCUGGGUUUAAUUUAUUUUUUUAGGGGUUGUUUUUUUUUUGGAUAUUUUUGUCAUUUUAUUUCCCUUUUCCCGCUUCCUCUGCAGCCCUCGGGGUCAGAUUUUCCCGCUGGACGCGGAUUCGGGAAGGGGAGGAUGGGAAUUCCCUUGGGAUGGCUUUGGGAGGGAGAUCCUGUCCUGGAAAUUCGGGAAAUUCGGGAAAAUCGGGAUCUGCCAGCGGGGGAAGGGAGGUGUCCCGAGCCAGGCCGGGUUUGGAGCGGGAUUCCCUGGCUUUUCCAUGGGAUCGGGAAUUCGGGAUGAGCCCAGCGCUGCCCUCCGCAUUCAGGGAAUUCCCGGAAUUCCUGGGAGAGGAGAGGAGAGAGCAGCGGGAUCAGGGAAUUCCCGGAAUUCCUGGGAGAGGAGAGAGCAGCGGGAUCAGGGAAUUAGAGGAGAGAGCAGCGGGAUCUGGGAAUUCCCGGAAUUCCUGGGAGAGGAGAGAGCAGCGGGAUCAGGGAAUUCCUGGAAUUCCUGGGAUUCCGGAGAGAGCAGCGGGAUCAGGGAAUUCCCGGAAUUCAGCGGGAUCAGGGAAUUCCCGGAAUUCCUGCCCGGUUUUUGGGACAGGGGGAUUUUUGGGAUGAAGCUGUUCCCCAGCCCGGGAUGUUCCCAGAUGGUUUUUAGGGACAGAGUCGGGGAUUUGGGGCAAUUCCAGGUCCAGGCUGGAGCUGUUCCCGUGGGAAUUGCCCCGUUCCAGGCUGGGAUUCCCUGGGGCUCCCUCGGGACCCCCGGAGCCAGGAAAAUCCCGUUUUCCUGGGAAUUCCUCCCCUUUGUGCCGCUGUUCCCGUCCCGACCCCACCGAACUCCCCCGGGGGGGGAAUCCCGGCCUGAUCGCGGAUUUUGGGAUUCGUUCUCAGCCGGAAAAGGCGGAAUUCUCCCCCAGGACAAAGCUGGGUUGGGAAAACCUCUGGAAUUUGCUCCUCCCAAGGUUUUCCCAAUCCCGGAGUUGGGUUUUCCCAUUCAUUGGAAACUCCGGGACCGUUCUGGGUCCAAACCCCUCAUUUUUGGCUGAACCGAGGCCCCUCAGAAAUGACAUUUUUAAACCAUUUUCUCCACAAUAAUUAACCCUCCCCACCCCGUUCCCUCCUGGCAGGAAAAAAUUCCAAUCCUGAAUUCCCAACCGCUGCAAUUCCCUGGAAUUCUCUGCCUUCCACCCCUGCCAUUCCCUGCUCAGGCCUGGGAUAAUCUGAUUUUUAAACGCCGGGAAAGCCCCAAACGGACGAGCAAUAAUUUCUAUUCCAGGUUCUUUUCCCCCUUCCCAAUAAAUCCUCCGGCAUUCCAGGCUGCUCUCCCGAG